rnacentral:rRNA from 1 species
GACGAACGCUGGCGGCGUGCUUAACACAUGCAAGUCGAACGGUAAGGCCCUUCGGGGUACACGAGUGGCGAACGGGUGAGUAACACGUGGGUGAUCUGCCCUGCACUUCGGGAUAAGCCUGGGAAACUGGGUCUAAUACCGGAUAGGACCCUGGGAUGCAUGUCCUGGGGUGGAAAGCUUUUGCGGUGUGGGAUGGGCCCGCGGCCUAUCAGCUUGUUGGUGGGGUGAUGGCCUACCAAGGCGACGACGGGUAGCCGGCCUGAGAGGGUGACCGGCCACACUGGGACUGAGAUACUGCCCAGACUCCUACGGGAGGCAGCAGUGGGGAAUAUUGCACAAUGGGCGCAAGCCUGAUGCAGCGACGCCGCGUGAGGGAUGACGGCCUUCGGGUUGUAAACCUCUUCCAGCACCGACGAAGCGCAAGUGACGGUAGGUGCAGAAGAAGGACCGGCCAACUACGUGCCAGCAGCCGCGGUAA